rnacentral:tRNA from 1 species
GCCAAUAUAGCUCAGUUGGUAGAGCAGCUGAUUCGUAAUCAGCAGGUCAAGGGUUCGAGUCCCUUCAUUGGCUCCA